GAGAAGAUUUGGGUUAUCUGCUCUUCUACAAAAGCAGAAUUAACAAAUUGGUAUUUCCUAUGAAGGAUAUAGCAUCUAACUCUCAGCGUUUGCUAUUUUAUGUACAAGAAGGUAAUGAAAAUCAUGCAUCGUGUGUCGGGAUUUUAACAAGCAUCUGAUCAUUUUCAAAAGGACAGAGGGUCAAGAAUGAAACAAUUCAACAAUAUCCAAUCAAUCCUUGGAACGACAGAACAGAAGGUCAGCAGUUGAUGUAGACACAGCAUUGUUCAUCAUGAUGGAUUUUUGCAGUCUGAUGGGCCUAGAUGUAGACUUA